GGUGGCUGCAUCGAUGCAAAAUGGGUUGUGGCAAUUCCUCUGCCACCAACACCUCUGGAGGGGGGCCAGCAGAAGUCUCCAAAGAUGUAAGAUCCCUCGGCAGACGAUGAGAAAAGAAG